AAACCAAUGCCACUGGAAAGCUAACACAAUUAUCUACAACUUUCAUGUUUACACCAAAAGCCAAUUCAAAACAGAAACGUGUGAAAAAGAUGCAAGAACGCGAAACAGGGGAUGCUGUCAAAGUGCAGCUCGCGAGGCGAGCAAGUUUACUCGCUGUGGCGAGUUACGACGGACAAAUCUACGGGAACAGACCAGAUUUCACUCCAAAAGCCCCAAUUUCAUCAACCCAAAUUUGAUAGGAAACUCAACCUAUGUUUAUUCUACAGCCUGAACUUUAAUUCUUAUGUUAAUUCAUUGAAUUACCUACUCUUUAACAAUCAAUUCCAAACCAAAACCUAAUAUUUCUCUAAUAAUCAAAAUUACCACCUACAUCAUGUUAAAUCCAGUUUUCAGAAUUAAAAUACUUAGAAUUAGAGAAAGUUAGUCCCACCCUUACCUUAGUAUUGAUGAUCGGCGAUCUUUCUCCCUCUUGGUUCUCCUCUUCUCUUGUUUUCUCCCUUUUCUCCAAAACUGGUUGUACGUGAAAAAUAAUUCUAAACCUAGUUUCUCCUAUUUAUCUCUUCCCAUCUAUUUUAUCUUAUUUUCACUUAAUCCACUAAACUCUCUAAAUUCUCAAAACAGCCCCAGAAUCUUAAUCUUAUUUCUAUUUUCAAGAUUUAUUAUAUUAAAUAAUAAAAUAACACUACUUAAUAAAAUAACAACACACCACAUAAUCAUUUAAAUCACAUAAAUACUAAAAUAAGCCACUUAAUAAAUCACAUAAUCAUAUAAAUAUAUUUUAAACCUAUUAAAAUAAUCAAAUAAUUCAAAGAGGGCGUUACAUGCCACGUCAUAGACGAUUUUUCUUUGUUUCUAUCAUCACCCUGAACGUUACCUUGAUUCUGAUUUUGAGACAUAUCUACAUUAAAAACAAAUGGCGAUCAAAACCUAACUAAACAAUAAUGCCAUAAAAUCAUAAAAUCAAAAACUAAACAUAAACUUAAACUAUCAUCAAAACCUACACCUAAACCUAAACAAUUAUAACAAUUCUACAACGAUUCAUCAAAACCUAAACCUAACAAUUCAAUAAAAGUUCUCUAACAAUUCUAACCAUUCUAACCUAAACUAUCCUAACAUAUCAUAAAAUCAACAAAUCAAUAUAGUCGAACCUAUAUAAUCGAAAUUUAACAAAAAAAAAAAAAACAAUUCAACCGCAAAACAACAAUGCAAUAGGAUUAAAAAAACUUACUUGUUUUUGUGAUUGAAAUUGGCUGAGAAUGACUUGAAAUAGCUCAAAAUCGCACCUUGGAGAUCAAAAAAUGUAACAAUGGAGUUUUGGAAACUCCUAUGCCUAUUCUGUUCUUAUAACAUUUUUCUCGGCAGUUAAUUGUCGAGGUUAGG
rnacentral:lncRNA from 1 species